AACGAACGCUGGCGGCAGGCUUAACACAUGCAAGUCGAGCGCCCCGCAAGGGGAGCGGCAGACGGGUGAGUAGCGCGUGGGAAUCUACCCAUCUCUACGGAAUAACGCAUGGAAACGUGUGCUAAUACCGUAUACGUCCUUCCGGAGCAAGAUUUAUCGGAGAUGGAUGAGCCCGCGUUGGAUUAGCUCGUUGGUGGGGUAAAGGCCUACCAGGGCGACGAUCCAUAGCUGGUCUGAGAGGAUGAUCAGCCACACUGGGACUGAGACACGGCCCAGACUCCUACGGGAGGCAGCAGUGGGGAAUAUUGGACAAUGGGCGCAAGCCUGAUCCAGCCAUGCCGCGUGAGUGAUGAAGGCCCUAGGGUUGUAAAGCUCUUUCACCGGUGAAGAUAAUGACGGUAACCGGAGAAGAAGCCCCGGCUAACUUCGUGCCAGCCGCCGCGGUAACAC
rnacentral:rRNA from 1 species